rnacentral:rRNA from 1 species
AGCGUGGAGACAGGUGGUGCAUGGCUGUCGUCAGCUCGUGUCGUGAGAUGUUGGGUUAAGUCCCGCAACGAGCGCAACCCUCACCCCUUGUUGUCACCAGGUCAGGCUGGGCACUCUAGGGGAACUGCCCCGGUCAACGGGGAGGAAGGUGGGGAUGACGUCAAGUCAUCAUGCCCCUUACGUCCUGGGCUACACACGUGCUACAAUGGCCGGUACAAAGGGAUGCAAGACCGUGAGGUGGAGCUAAACCCAAAAAGCCGGUCUAAGUUCAGAUUGGAGUCUGCAACUCGACUCCAUGAAGGAGGAAUCGCUGGUAAUCGCGCAUCAGCACGGCGCGGUGAAUACGUUCCCGGGCCUUGUACACACCGCCCGUCACACCACGAAAGCCAGCUGUACUCGAAGUCGCUGAG